rnacentral:lncRNA from 1 species
UUAGGAGUCCCAGCGCUUUGAGGACCAGAGUAGUUUCAGUGCCUUGUUCUCUAAUUAGUUCUGUGUGUCAGUCGCUUUCUCUUCUGGUAUCAGAGUGGAUAAGGAUGUCUUUUGUAUACUGCUGGACUCUCAUCAAGCACUUGUUUUGUUUAGAUUACUCUUUUAAUUAACUUUGUGAUGCAAGGUUCAAUUCAUCCUUAGCCCCUGCUGAAAGGAACUGACUUCAUUUCAAUGUCAAGAGUGGCUUGAGAGACCCAGAUCUCUGUUUUUGAGACAAAUGGGCUGUUUGGGGAUUAGAUUAGCCUUUGAUUUGGUUUCUGAGACCAAUUUUCUCUUUCUGCCCCACGAAGUGAAUGUUUACUCAGCUUUCUGAUUACAGCAGCAACUCCAAAGAGGUGGCAUCCAUGAGCUGCUAAUGAAAAACACCACUCCCAUAAUCCUGGAAAGAACAGGUGAUGGCAAUAACUGGAUCUGGUCAUCCUGGCCUGCUCAGAUAGCAAACCAGAAAUUGGAAGGAUGAUCAAGAAGAGGCCUGGCCUAGGCACCAGAAAGUGUCCUGUCAGCAGGGAUUCCAGAGCACAAAUUGCAUCUGGGCUGCAGACACUCCAGGAGAUAUGGACUUCAGGAAUACAGUCCAUGAGAAGUUUAGUUUCCUGUUCUCUGUGAUGGCUCUGCGGAAGAUGAAUGCAUUUAUGUUUGUUAGGGAGUCACACUGCACACUCCAAGCUUCUUUCCUUUCUCCUCCCAUACCUCACAUGUGGAGGUCAUACUUCUCCCAUUGAUCAGUAAUGAUGGUUGCAUAGCAUUUUUAACUGGUCAGCUGCAAGCAAAAAAUAAUAAUAAUAAUAAAGUAUAUGCCUUUUUCUGAGAUGAAGGAGAG